rnacentral:lncRNA from 1 species
UUUUUCGUACUUUUUUUCUGAUAAAUUCCUUACUUCUUAGUUUUUAUUUUUGGUUUGUCUGGACAAGGUUUAUCAAGGUCAGCCGGGCCCGUAGGUGGCCUUUUGCAAUAUUAUCUGAUCCCUCAAGUCACAUACAUAAUUCACAAAUGGCAUGUAUGACAACUCAUUGUGACUUAUUUCAAGAACACUUUUUAAUAUUGGCGGGGAUUUUUCAAAAAUGGAUCUAAAUCCACUAAAAAAUAAUUGUAUCAUUCGGUAUUGUCCAUUGUAUUUAUAAAUAUUUUUUUU